rnacentral:misc_RNA from 1 species
CGCGCGAGUCCCGCUGACCAGUCUCCAGGUGAACCUGCGGAAGGAUCAUUACCGAGUACCGGGCGCAAGCCCGUACCCACACACCAUGUCUACUUUCCACGUUGCUUCGGCGGGCCGUUGGGUGCCCCACCCCCGGCCUCACGGCUGGGGUGUGCCCGCCGGAGGACCAGUCAAACGCGUUGCAAACCGUCCGUCCGAGUCUAUUUGAAUCAGUCAAAACUUUCAACAACGGAUCUCUUGGCUCG